UAGGGAAUAUUGGGCAAUGGGCGGAAGCCUGACCCAGCCAUGCCGCGUGCAGGAUGAAGGCCUUCUGGGUUGUAAACUGCUUUUACGGGGAAGAAAACGCCCAUGCGUGGGAAACUGACGGUACCCGAGGAAUAAGCACCGGCUAACUCCGUGCCAGCAGCCGCGGUAAUACGGAGGGUGCAAGCGUUGUCCGGAUUUAUUGGGUUUAAAGGGUGCGUAGGCGGCCCCUUAAGUCAGCGGUGAAAGCCCGGGGCUCAACCCCGGAACGCCGUUGAUACUGGGGGGCUUGAGUACAGACGAGGUAGGCGGAAUUGAGGGUGUAGCGGUGAAAUGCUUAGAUACCCUCAAGAACACCGAUUGCGUAGGCAGCUUACUAGGCUGUGACUGACGCUGAGGCACGAAAGCGUGGGGGAGCGAACAGGAUUAGAUACCCCUGGUAGGUCCACGCCGUAAACGAUGAUUACUCGAUGUCGGCGACAGACUGUCGGCGUCUUAGCGAAAGCGUUAAGUAAUCCACCUGGGGAGUACGCCCGCAAGGGUGAAACUU
rnacentral:rRNA from 1 species